UUUUAGCCCUGAUGGCAGCGGCAUCCCACGCAUUUUUUUUGCAUGGAUACAGCGAACAGCAGGAAAUAGC
rnacentral:sRNA from 1 species